rfam:Hordeum vulgare subsp. vulgare, WGS project CAJW01000000 data, contig: morex_contig_2557822
CUAGUACUCCCUCUGUCCCAAAAUUCUUGUCUUAGGUUUGUCUAGAAAUGAAUGCAUCUAAAUACCAAAAAAUAACUAGGUACAUUCAUAUCUAGACAAAUCUAAGACAAAAAAUUUAGGACGAAGGGAGUAUAAU